ACUCAUCCAUCCCAUUGCAUCAAUCCAUUUCCUAUUGGCAAAGGUGAAAUUGCAAUCCACCAGCCAGGGAUGCCAAUGUCUUGUAGGCGACAGAGGGGCUCCCAGGUGAAUUUCCAAAGAUGGAAACAAGUUGUGGGGUAAAAAUAUAUGCCAAAGACUACAAUUGCUGCAAUGGUUCACAGGUGUAGUUUCAGAGCUGAGACGUUCUGCCUUGCGUUUUGCUAUGGGAUGGGUUCAUCUUGGAGACAGAUAUGAAAAGUUCAGCUUCCCUCAAAUGGAGUUAGGAAAAAACUCCCAGUAGCAUUUUGGAGUGAAAUGGAGAAGCAGCAGCCUUUGGGCAUCAAUUGGAAAAGAGUGAGGAUGAAAGAUGCAUGACCCAGAGGAGGAGAAGGAUAAAAUGUGUUCCUUCAGAUACAAAACUGAUUGAAAACCUACUGCUGUGAAUAAAACAGGGCUGUUCUUCUCA
rnacentral:lncRNA from 1 species